rnacentral:rRNA from 1 species
CCUACGGGGAGCAGCAGUCGAGAAUCAUUCACAAUGGGGGAAACCCUGAUGGUGCGACGCCGCGUGGGGGAAUGAAGGUCUUCGGAUUGUAAACCCCUGUCAUGUGGGAGCAAAUUAAAAAGAUAGUACCACAAGAGGAAGAGACGGCUAACUCUGUGCCAGCAGCCGCGGUAAUACAGAGGUCUCAAGCGUUGUUCGGAAUCACUGGGCGUAACGCGUGCGUAGGCUGUUUCGUAAGUCGUGUGUGAAAGGCGCGGGCUCAACCCGCGGACGGCACAUGAUACUGCGAGACUAGAGUAAUGGAGGGGGAACCGGAAUUCUCGGUGUAGCAGUGAAAUGCGUAGAUAUCGAGAGGAACACUCGUGGCGAAGGCGGGUUCCUGGACAUUAACUGACGCUGAGGCACGAAGGCCAGGGGAGCGAAAGGGAUUAGAUACCCUGGUAGUC